GUGGCAAUAGCUCAGUGGUAAAGCCCCCGCUUCGCGUGAGGGGAGACCCGGGUUCGAUUCCCGGCUGCUUCA
rfam:Toxocara canis scaffold1242, whole genome shotgun sequence.